GGUACUGUGGCCGAGUGGUUAUGGCGUCACGUUUAGGUAAAAUACGACCUAAAUCCGUGAUGGGAAACCUCGCGAGUUCGAAUCUCGUCAGUGCCA